AUCACACACCUGAGAGGUGGCUGGGGCUAUUGUUUCUCGAAUGUGAGCCAUGCAUAAACUUCUAGGAGCCCUUGUUAAAUGCAGAUGCUGUGUCACUUAAGCCAAGUGGAGCUGAUAUUCUGCACCAAUGAUGAACUCCCAAGUGAUGGUGAUGCUCCUGGACCACGGCUGACCCAUUCUGAGUAGCAAGGAAACACCCGAUGCUCCUUCUCGCCUUUCUCCUUGACACACACUCCCCAUCUAUGGAGCGCUAGGUCACUUACACACGGAUUCCGGCUCCAUCACCCGUCAGCAGUUUAAUGUACAUUGACAACAGUCUGUCUUUCUCACCAUCCAGUGAGGUGCACCAGCAUAAUCCUUUUUUGCUUUCUUUUUCUUUUUUUAACUUUUUAGAUGAGAAAACUGCUCCUCAGAGAUGUUAAACAACUUGGCAGAGGUCACACAGCUAGUAAGUGACAAAGACAAAAGUUCAAGGGUGAAGGUCGUUCCCAGUCAUUGCAGCCCCCCAUGAGCCCAUAGAUGAAUGUGGUCCUCCUAGAAUGGGACACUCUGCACUUAAUGAACAGGUUCGGAUGCUACAAUACAUUUCAAGAGAAUCAGCCACCUGCGUCCGAGAUUACGCCAGACCUUUGGACAGAAUCACGUGAGAUGCUAAGGAGUGCCAGAGGAAACUGAACAUCUGUGUCCGUAAGAAGCUGGGGAAGUGCAUUUGGCCCUCAGAGUUCCACAGGACUGGAUAGGGGGCGAUGUUAGAGCCUGUGUCACCUCUGCCUGGAGCUGCUUGAGUUUCCUUGGGCAGGUCAUUUCCUCUCGCUGUACCUUACUUUUCUCAUCUGUAUAGUGGGUUCAGUGAGCGUCCUUCAGCUCUUAGAGUCUGAAUAACAGGGUUUAGAUAGUACCACCAGAUUGACAUAAAGAAUAUAUUAGCUUACAUGCUGUUUUGUGUCAGAGUAGGAAAGGGGAUAUUUAAAACUAUAUUUAAAUGUCUGUUUUAAUUAACUAAAUAUAUUUUAUUUUAUUUUAUUUUAAAGAUAUUAUACAAUUUUAAAAUAGAG
rnacentral:lncRNA from 1 species